UACGUAGGGGGCAAGCGUUGUCCGGAAUCAUUGGGCGUAAAGCGCGCGUAGGCGGCCCUGUAAGUCCGUUGUGAAAGUCGAAGGCUCAACCUUCGAAAGCCGAUGGAUACUGCAGGGCUAGAGUCCGGAAGAGGCGAGUGGAAUUCCUGGUGUAGCGGUGGAAUGCGCAGAUAUCAGGAGGAACACCUGUGGCGAAAGCGGCUCACUGGACCAUAACUGACGCUGAUGCACGAAAGCUAGGGGAGCAAACAGG
rnacentral:rRNA from 1 species